UACGUAGGGCGCAAGCGUUGUCCGGAUUUAUUGGGCGUAAAGAGCUCGUAGGCGGUUUGUCGCGUCGGUCGUGAAAACCUGCCGCUUAACGGUGGGCGUGCGGUCGAUACGGGCAGACUAGAGUUCGGCAGGGGAGACCGGAAUUCCUGGUGUAGCGGUGAAAUGCGCAGAUAUCAGGAGGAACACCGGUGGCGAAGGCGGGUCUCUGGGCCGAUACUGACGCUGAGGAGCGAAAGCGUGGGGAGCGAACAGG
rnacentral:misc_RNA from 1 species